ACCCCACCCAAAUCUCCGCACCGAGGAAGCUGGAAAACCAAACUGUGCCCCAGCAGCUCCAGGUCUCGCUGAACCUGUUACUAUGGCAGCGUCUAUGCUUCACUUUUGAGGAUUGCUUCUGCUUUGAAAUAGCCGUGUGGAAGAAAAACUACAAAGUUUUGAGGGGGAAAAAACCCACCUAACUUUAGCUGCCGUUGUGUCUUCAUCUGUAAAAAUCUUCUUCAUGUCUCAUGGAUUUCAACAUGCAGUUUAUCUUGGUUUGUUCCAUAAAACAUCAGAUGCAACUUUAAUGGCCUAACCCCAAAAAGAUAACUUGGCAGCCAUCAAGCAUUCAGCAGCGUUCCAAAUGCCCUCUUGCUGGAGCCAGCCUUCUACGGGGCCAUGUGGAUGUCAGGCACACACAAUUUGAGUCACGCUGACAUAGCUGGGAUGCCUGGAUUGCACUGGAAUCUGGGGGGUACCAAUCACAGGCCAGAGAGAAGCCAUUGGCUGGAAGGAACAAUGCCAGCGUGUUCACCGUCUCUGCAGAAGGAGGGGGUGUUGAUGGUGAGGGGAAUGACAGUUGCAGCCAAAGGAGCAAAAUGACCCCAAAGCAGGGUGGGCACAUGUCAUUGAUGCUGGGCAGAAGCACUCCAGGGGCUCAGGUCAUGACCACACCCCUUUUCUCCUGCCCCACAACCAGAAAAACUAAGAAGGUACAAGAUUUUCCCUAAAACUUAAUGUACAGAAUGCCCUGCUGUCUUCAGGUUUUUGGGAAAUCCAGGGUUGACAACAACAGCCCAAAUAUAUGAAGCACUUACCUCUACCAGGCACUGUCUGUAUCUUACAAAUAAUUCGUUUAAUUCUCACAACUCCUUAAUGAGGUAAGUUUUACAAUUUCCAUUUUAUGAUGAGGGAAACUGAGGCUUAGAAAGAUUAAGAAACUUGCCCAAAUCCUGCAGCCAGAAAUGGGCAGAAUCAAGACAUGAACCACAGUCUCUCAAAAGCCAAAGCCUGGGCACUCACUACUACCCUCAACAGCCCGGUGGCUGGUUCAUGCCAUCUCUGCCACCCUCACACAGCCACCUCUUGGAUGGUAGAACCCUGUGUGUUGAACAAGUAGAGUAACAUUCUAAAAGGAUUCUUUUUCCUCCCCUGUUUUCCUGGGGGCUGAGUAGACAUGUUUAAACAUGCUGUUCAUCUGACACUUGUUUACUUCAGUGGCUAUGAUGUGCAAGACCCCAGACCAGGAACAGUAAGAGGGCAUGAGGAUAACCCAGCGUGGAGACCACUCUGGAGGAGGCUGCAGACUGGAGGCGCUGUUGUAGCCAGCUGCAUUUUGGAGGCUGGGUUGCCUGUCUUAGAUCUCUAAUGAGUUUGGUCAUUAUUUUUUCAGCCAGGGUUUUCUUCCUCCCUCCCUGUCUUCCUUCCCUUUCUCCUUCCUUCCUUCAUUCCUUCCUUCCUUUCUUCCUUCCUUCUUUCCUCCCUCCCUCCCUCCCUCCCUCCCUUCCUUUCUCUCUUUCCUUCUAUCUUUUAUUUUCUCUCUUUCUCUGUCUCUCUCUUUCUCUCUUUC
rnacentral:lncRNA from 1 species